rnacentral:tRNA from 1 species
UCCCUGGUGGUCUAGUGGUUAGGAUUUAGUGUUUUCACCACUGCAACCUGGGUUCAAUCCCUGGUCUGGGAC